CCUACGGGUGGCUGCAGUGGGGAAUAUUGGACAAUGGGGGGAACCCUGAUCCAGCCAUGCCGCGUGUGUGAAGAAGGCCCUCGGGUUGUAAAGCACUUUCAGUGAGGAAGAACGCCUGGUGGUUAAUACCCAUCAGGAAAGACAUCACUCACAGAAGAAGCACCGGCUAACUCCGUGCCAGCAGCCGCGGUAAUACGGAGGGUGCGAGCGUUAAUCGGAAUUACUGGGCGUAAAGCGCGCGUAGGUGGCUUGAUAAGCCGGUUGUGAAAGCCCCGGGCUCAACCUGGGAACGGCAUCCGGAACUGUCAAGCUAGAGUGCAGGAGAGGAAGGUAGAAUUCCCGGUGUAGCGGUGAAAUGCGUAGAGAUCGGGAGGAAUACCAGUGGCGAAGGCGGCCUUCUGGACUGACACUGACACUGAGGUGCGAAAGCGUGGGUAGCAAACCGGAUUAGAUACCCUUGUAGUC
rnacentral:rRNA from 1 species